rnacentral:rRNA from 1 species
UCCUACGGGAGGCAGCAGUGGGGAAUAUUGCACAAUGGGGGAAACCCUGAUGCAGCAACGCCGCGUGAGUGAAGAAGUAUUUCGGUAAGUAAAGCUCUAUCAGCAGGAACGAGACAAGACGGUACCUGACUAAGAAGCCCCGGCUAACUACGUGCCAGCAGCCGCGGUAAUACGUAGGGGGCAAGCGUUAUCCGGAAUCACUGGGUGUAAAGGGAGCGUAGACGGCUGAGCAAGCCUGAAGUGAAAGGCGGGGGCCCAACCCCCGGACUGCUUUGGGAACUGGACGGCUGGAGUGCAGGAGAGGG